CCUACGGGAGGCAGCAGUGGGGAAUAUUGGGCAAUGGAGGAAACUCUGACCCAGCGACGCCGCGUGCGGGAUGAAGGCCUUCGGGUUGUAAACCGCUUUCAGCAGGGAAGAAGCGAAAGUGACGGUACCUGCAGAAGAAGCACCGGCUAACUAUGUGCCAGCAGCCGCGGUAAUACAUAGGGUGCAAGCGUUGUCCGGAAUUAUUGGGCGUAAAGAGCUCGUAGGUGGCUCGUCACGUCGGAUGUGAAAAUCUGGGGCUUAACCCCAGACCUGCAUUCGAUACGGGCGAGCUUGAGUAUGGUAGGGGAGUCUGGAAUUCCUGGUGUAGCGGUGGAAUGCGCAGAUAUCAGGAGGAACACCAAUGGCGAAGGCAGGACUCUGGGCCAUUACUGACACUGAGGAGCGAAAGCGUGGGGAGCGAACAGGAUUAGAUACCCUGGUAGUCCACGCCGUAAACGGUGGGCACUAGUUGUGGGGACCUUCCACGGUCUCUGCGACGCAGCUAACGCAUUAAGUGCCCCGCCUGGGGAGUACGAUCGCAAGAUUAAAACUCAAAGGAAUUGACGG
rnacentral:rRNA from 1 species